rnacentral:rRNA from 1 species
AUUGAACGCUGGCGGCAGGCCUAACACAUGCAAGUCGAGCGAGCGGCGGACGGGUGAGUAAUGUAUGGGGACUGCCCGAUAGAGGGGGAUAACUACUGGAAACGGUAGCUAAUACCGCAUACUAUCGGAUAACCCAUAUGGGAUUAGCUAGUAGGUGAGGUAAAGGCUCACCAAGGCAACGAUCCGUAGCUGGUUUGAGAGGACGACCAGCCACACUGGAACGUAGACACGGCCCAGACUCCUGCGGAGGCAGCAGUGGGGAAUUUUGGACAUUGGGGGAAACCCUGAUCCAGCCAGCCCGCGUGUAUGAUGAAGGCCUUCGGGUUGUAAAGUACUUUUGGCAGAGAAGCGGUAUCUGCAGAAUAAGCACCGGCUAACUACGUGCCAGCAGCCGCGGUAAUAC